AGCUCCAAUAGCGUAUAUUAAAGUAUUUAAAGCUUAUUAUUUAAGCUGCAGUUAAAAAGCUCGUAGUUGGAUCUCGGGGUACCUGGUCUAGCCGGUAUAGCUCACGCUAAAACUGGUCUGACCCCCCAACGUGAGGUAUUCGUCUCCGGGUGCACUUCAUUGGGUGCUCGUGAGGGGCCUCGUAGUUACUGUGAAAAAAUUAGAGUGUUCAAAGCAGGCUCAUAUGUUCGGAUAGUCGUGCAUGGAAUAACUGAAUACGUGACUGGCGCUUUUCAGUUGGUCUCGGCGACUGGUCAAAUGAUUAAGAGGGACUGCCGGGGGCAUUGGUAUGGCGGGGUUAGAGGUGAAAUUCUUGGAUCCUCGCCAGACCAACAAAAGCGAAAGCAUUUGCCAAGAAUGUCUUCA
rnacentral:rRNA from 1 species